CCCUACACUACCUCUUUGAGUCUAGAUGCUUGUUUCCCUUGGCUUUUAACAGGUAUGGGAAAGCAAAAAUGGUGUGUUUUCAAUCAUAUUUUAUAUAUAUUAUAUAUAUUGUAUAUUAUAUAUAUAUAUUAUAUAUAAGCCAAGGGAAACAAGCACCCAGACUCAAAGAGGUAGUGUAGGG